AUUGAACGCUGGCGGCAGGCCUAACACAUGCAAGUCGAGCGAGCGGAGGACGGGUGAGGAAUGUAUGGGGACUGCCCGUUAGAGGGGGAUAACUACUGGAAACGGUAGCUAAUACCGCAUACUAUCGGAUAACCCAUAUGGUAUUAGAUAGGUGGUGAGGUAAUGGCCUACCAAGGCGACGAUCUCUAGCCGGUCUGAGAGGAGGACCCGCCACACUGGGACUGAGACACGGCCCAGACUCCUACGGAGGCAGCAGUGGGGAAUAUUGCGCAAUGGGGGCAACCCUGACGCAGCAAUGCCGCGUGAGUGAAGAAGGCCUUCGGUUUGUAAAGUUCUUUCGUUAGUGAGGCGUUAACUACAGAAGAAGCACCGGCUAACUCCGUGCCAGCAGCCGCGGUAAUAC
rnacentral:rRNA from 1 species